rnacentral:rRNA from 1 species
GAUGAACGCUGGCGGCGUGCCUAAUACAUGCAAGUCGAGCGAACAGACGAGGAGCUUGCUUCUCUGAUGUUAGCGGCGGACGGGUGAGUAACACGUGGAUAACCUACCUAUAAGACUGGGAUAACUUCGGGAAACCGGAGCUAAUACCGGAUAAUAUAUUGAACCGCAUGGUUCAAUAGUGAAAGACGGUUUUGCUGUCACUUAUAGAUGGAUCCGCGCCGCAUUAGCUAGUUGGUAAGGUAACGGCUUACCAAGGCAACGAUGCGUAGCCGACCUGAGAGGGUGAUCGGCCACACUGGAACUGAGACACGGUCCAGACUCCUACGGGAGGCAGCAGUAGGGAAUCUUCCGCAAUGGGCGAAAGCCUGACGGAGCAACGCCGCGUGAGUGAUGAAGGUCUUCGGAUCGUAAAACUCUGUUAUUAGGGAAGAACAAAUGUGUAAGUAACUGUGCACGUCUUGACGGUACCUAAUCAGAAAGCCACGGCUAACUACGUG